AAUAUUCCAUUGAAGUACCAAGUUAGUUAUUCCAAUUAAACUACAUAUGGUAGCCCACACGCACUGUGCAACAUAGAUUAGUUUUAAUCACCCUUUUAACAAGCUAAAUUAGUCUCUAAUCUAGGACUUUAUACGGUCCAAGGCUCACCUCACAACACCAAUGUUCUAUAUUAUGCUAGCUAGGAAACUAAGCCUUAGAAAACAAGAAAACAGAGGUGACAAAAGUGGUGCCAGCAGUCGCGGUUAUACCACUACCUCAAACUAACUCUCACACAAUAAAGGACUAGCUACAGGCUUUAAGUUCAACUUUUUAUGUAAAAAGUAAAUUAUAACUAGACCCAAACCAGCCUUAUUAUACUACAACCCAACAAACCACAACUUCAAAACUCGGAUUAGAUACCCGACUAUUGUGUGGCCCAACAAAAAGAAUACUACAAGCGAAAGCUUAAACCUCAAACAAUGUGGCGGUGCUUAACUCCUCAUCAGGGGAUCCUGUGUCUUAAUUCGAUAAUCCACGAUAAACCCAAGCUUUUCUUGUGUUUUAGCUUGUGUAUGGCCGUUUAAGCUUGCUCAAAAAAGACCCAAAAGGAAGCAAUGGAGGUUACUCCCCACAAUUCAGGUGACAUACAGCUAAUGGAAAGCAGAUUCAUGGGAUACAAAUAAACACACUAUCAGCCCUAAGCCUAAAAACCUUAGCAAAGGAGGACUUGAAAGUAAGGCUUCAAUUCACAAUACUAGCCUGAACAAGAACUUAAGCGCGCACAAAUCGCCCGUCACUCCGGCAGUAAAGUCGGAUAAGUCGUAACAUAGUAGGGGUAAUGGAAAUUGCCCCUAU
rnacentral:ncRNA from 1 species